UGGGGAAUGGUGUAAUGGUAACACUACGGUUUUUGGUACCGUCAUUCUAGGUUCGAGUCCUAGUUCCCCAGCCA
rnacentral:tRNA from 45 species